rnacentral:rRNA from 1 species
UACGUAGGGCGCAAGCGUUAUCCGGAAUUAUUGGGCGUAAAGAGCUCGUAGGCGGUUUGUCGCGUCUGCCGUGAAAGUCCGGGGCUCAACUCCGGAUCUGCGGUGGGUACGGGCAGACUAGAGUGAUGUAGGGGAGACUGGAAUUCCUGGUGUAGCGGUGAAAUGCGUAGAUAUCUGGAGGAACACCGGUGGCGAAGGCGGCAUCCUGGACCGAUAUUGACGCUGAGGCGCGAAAGCCAGGGGAGCAAACGGG